GACAGAGGGUGCAACCGUUGUUCGGAUUUACUGGGCGUAAAGCGCGUGUAGGCGGCUUUGCAAGUCGGAUGUGAAAGCCCACGGCUCAACCGUGGAAGUGCAUCCGAAACUGCAUGGCUCGAGUCUCGGAGAGGAAGGUGGAAUGCUUGGUGUAGAGGUGAAAUUCGUAGAUAUCAAGCAGAACACCUGCGGCGAAGGCGGCCUUCUGGACGAUGACUGACGCUGAGACGCGAAAGCGUGGGGAGCAAACAGG
rnacentral:rRNA from 1 species